CUCUCGCUCCCUGGGCGAGCUGGGCAGAGACCACAGUCCCUGGAAAAAGGCCAUGUUGGGUUCCCAUGGCUUUCUGCGUCUGGCCUUGGAGAGAAAGAGUAAAGGCACAAGAGCCGGGAAGGGAGGAGAAGGCUCUAGAAGACAAGCAGUGCACAGACGCUGAGUGCGGACAUUUCAAGGCUUGGAUCCUCAUGAAGGCCCCUUGGUGAACACAGGACAACAAGCAAAAUGAGGCAAAGUACCCUAAUUCUGGCUUAGUGGGGUCGUUAGGCAAGUCUUCCCUUGCCAAGGAAAUAAACCCAGAGCUCAAUCAUCAGUCAACUUUUUGGAUCCAAGAAACUUAUCUCCCCAGAGAAACGGGGUUGUGAUGCCCGUGACAUUCUUCGCUUAGUACACGUUAACGGCUUACCGAGCAGCGUCUCACCACUCCUUAGCCCCUGGGGCCAACUGGAAACAGGCGGCUCCACCUCAGAGAGGCGGCAGAAACGUGACUCCCAGUCAUUCAGAGUGAACCGCAGGACUCUUCCCAACACCCCCUUCCUGCGACAGGAUGGAGCAGGUCGGCGUGAGGAGACAAGCUGGGCACGGCGUGGCAGGUGAGUAGGCACCUGUGACCAGAGGUGCGGCGGGCAGAGCAGUAAGCAGCGUGAGCGCAGGAGCAGCACGGCGUGCCCCAGGCAGUGGCAAUGGCACGGGCAGAGGGGCACACGGGGCUCCCGAAGCGACUCUAGGGAAUUCCCUGACGGGCAGCAGUUGGCAAAACCAACAGAAAUGAUACGUGGGACUGGAGUCACUGUAACAUCUCUUCUAAGAGAAACUGAAAAGUCAAGAAGAUUCACUGGGACUACAAAACGACUUGAUGGUCAGGCCUGGAAGCCGAUGAACCAGGCGCGACCCUGUCACGGAACUCAAGAUAUGCUGUGUAAAGUGCAGGAUGGUUCAGUUUGGCCCUGGGCAGGCCUGUUGGAGAACCUGCCUACAGAUGGAGCAGAAUCCUGGGGAACCAGGACCCACCAACACCUCCAGAAGAGAAAGCCAACUGUCUAGCAGGAGAUGGGUCACCUCCACCUCAUCUGCUGGCCCAGACGUCAUCACAGAGGGAGCGGUGACGCGAACACUGCUCUCAGGCGAGCCUGAAGACCAGCCCAGGGAAAUGGCGACAGACACUGUGGUCACUCAAGCCUCAUAAAAACAGGAGAUCCAGAGGCUAUAGAGAAAGCAACACUAAAUCAGAGCCUCAUUCUUGCCCACCAAGGCUCAGGAACCAUUGCGGAAGAGGGGGAGAAAGAUUCCAAGAGCCUGGGCUGUGGGGGAAGAGCCUUGAGGGUCCGCUUCCCCAACCUGUAGAGACUGACUGAGGCCUCUCGGUCUCCACAAUGAAUACCAAUAAUCCCACCAAAGAAGACCCUCAGCAGAACUGGGGAGGGGGAAAAUCAAUAAUAAUAACAGAUGAUCCAGUUUGUGAAGGUAAUAUGUGAAUUUUCCCCCUGAAACUUUAUCAGAUUAAUUCAGUUUCACAGAAGGGAUAAUUAAUACUGAAAUAGAUCUAAAAAUAAUUUAAGCGACAUCAAAUGUAUCUAGGCCACGUUGGUUUGUGCAUAUUUACGAACACUUAUGUUAGCUUAAAUACACAGGAGGUGCUUGAUGAAAGAUGAAUGAACAGUAAACUUAAUU